GAUAUUUUCACAAGCUGAUCAGAAUACCAUCAAAAGCCAUUUUUUUUAUGUGAGGAUUAAUGGAAGGGGUUUCAUCCACGCUGCCAAUUUCCUCCGAUAAAACCCCCUCCACGUAUCAAAUCCAUCACCAACUCCUUACUAUAAUCCAUCACCCAACUCUCACCGAGCAUCAGCCACCGGUGGAGCUCUUCUCUAUCUCCAUCAGUCUACAAGAAGAAAUUCCAUCAUAUCCUCCUUCUCUUCAAAUCAUCUGCAGGCAUAGCAACCCCACAAAACAAAAGUUCCAUCUUCAACCAACUCCCAUUCUCACAGAGAAACCAAAAAUCAUUUUUCACAAGAGGUAAACCAACUCUCACUAAUCAAUCAUUUGUUUCACAAAGAAGCUAUCUUUUUCAUGUUUUUGUUGGCGUGUGCGUGUGUAUGUGUGCUGCUGUGUGCGUGAGUUCUUAGAACUGUCGUCGUCGUUGUGGCGAGUCGGGCAGGUUGGGAUCGAGAGAGAACAGGGGAGGAUCCGGCGACGGCAGUGGUGGCCUGAGGCUCCUACUGGCCGUCUGCCAGAAAUAGAGAGAGAAAGAGGAGCGGCGGUCCGGCUGACUGCUGCUGUCGGCUGGAGCAGAGGGGGAUGGCUGCAGAACGAAGCCGCCGGCGCUGCGCGCCACGGCGGCCGACGGAGGAAGAGAAGGGGGCAGCGGGGCGGUGGCCUAUUAGCUGCUGCUGCUUGCCGGUUGGACGGAGAGAAGGGUUAGGCGAGAGGGAGACAGAGGAGGUGGCGAUGGCGUCGGCCGCAGCUGCUGUUGUCGCCGACAGUCGCUGAUGGCGACGACUUCGCCGGAGGAAGGAGGCGGUGGAUGGGUAGGCGGGAGCUUAGGGCUUUUGACGAUUUUGGGGAUUUAGGAUUUCUGCUUUUGGGGGUUCGGUGAGUUGAGGGAGGAGGGAGAAAGAUAGAGAGAGGGAGGUAUUAGCGUAAGAAAAAGGAAAGGGGAAAGGUACUUGGGCCUUGGGCCUUUUAUUUAAUAAAGUGGGCUGCAUUUUUAUAACUUGGGCUAUUAAUUUUUUUUUUUUUGUGCUGCAUUUUUGCAUGAAGAAGGCCUCUUAUUAAAUUAUUAAUCGGGCCAUGAAUUUACUUAUUUGUGAAUUGAGUUUUUAAAGUAAAAGCCGAGCAAGGGUAUUAUUAAAACCCUUAGCCAAGAAAAAUGAUUUUCAAGUUUUAUGUUGAAUUUUUUUUGAAAACCCGGGUGUUGCGAAUCUAGUUAGAAAAUUAUGAUAAGUCAUGAAGGUUAAGCUUGAUUUUAGGACUAUGAGUUUAAGUUGAGAACUUAUCUUGUAGGUCCUACAGAAGAGGAUAUUUAGGCUCUUGGUCAGCUGAGUUAUAUUGUUUGGAUAUUCUCCAAAUCAGGUGAGGCUUUAUUUACGAAAUGUAUGUUUGAGCUAAUAAGCUCGUUUUUAUGAAAAGUUAAAGUUGAUGGUUCAUGCUUAAAAUGUUUUUGCUCUCUAUUGGUUAUUGCUUCUACCAGAACAUUGUUGGCUCCGCCAACCAGAACAUUGUUAGCUCUGCUAACCAGAAUUGUGUACGUACACCAGAACCUGUUGUCUCGAGAGAUCGGUGACAACCAGUUGUAGAUAGCAUGCCCAAUAGAUGGCCAGGAAAAUACGAGCUCAGAUUAUUUUAGUAUGCAUGGAAUGACUCACUUUAAAAACAUUCUGUGUUAUACUGUUUAAGGCAUGAAUUAUCUUUUUCACUAAAUAAUUUUUAAAAUGUUUUUAAAUGGCUCAACCCACUGAGUACACUAGUACUCAGCCCUGCAAUUGUUUUCAAAACCUUUUGCAGAUUGAGCAGCUGGUGGUGACGUGCGAGGCUGAGGAAGAGUUGUUGCUAUGGAUUUUGAAGAAAUGCUAUGUUUACUUCCGCUGAAAUAAAUUCACUUAGUGAAUAUUGUCUGAUGCCUAACUUUGUUAAUACUUUUAUUCAUAUUUUUGAUAUGAAUUUCACUCUCCAUCACUUUCCUAGCGAUUGUUUUCCGCACCUAUUAUAUGCUUAGUAUGAGACGUUGUCUUGGUCUCAGACCUUCGAACUUUCGAUCCUGAUAGGGAGAAUAAUU
rnacentral:lncRNA from 1 species